rnacentral:rRNA from 1 species
AGAGUUUGAUCCUGGCUCAGGAUGAACGCUGGCGGCGUGCCUAACACAUGCAAGUCGAACGGGGGCCAGCGGCGGAAGGGGAUGGUUUACCAGACCCGGAAGGCGCGGGCCUUAGUGGCGGACGGGUGAGUAACGCGUGGGGAACCUGCCCCGUACCGGGGGAUAACACCUGGAAACAGGUGCUAAUACCGCAUAACAGAAGGGGACGCAUGUUCCUUUCUUGAAAACUCCGGUGGUACGGGAUGGACCCGCGUCUGAUUAGCUGGUUGGCGGGGUAACGGCCCACCAAGGCGACGAUCAGUAGCCGGCCUGAGAGGGCGGACGGCCACAUUGGGACUGAGACACGGCCCAAACUCCUACGGGAGGCAGCAGUGGGGAAUAUUGCACAAUGGGGGAAACCCUGAUGCAGCGACGCCGCGUGAGUGAAGAAGCGUUUCGGCGCGUAAAGCUCUGUCAGCGGGGAAGAAACACGGUUCGCGAGAGCCGCGGACGGUACCCGACCAAGAAGCCCCGGCUAACUACGUG